UACGAAGGGUGCAAGCGUUACUCGGAAUUACUGGGCGUAAAGCGUGCGUAGGUGGUUUGUUAAGUCUGUUGUGAAAGCCCCGGGCUCAACCUGGGAAUGGCAAUGGAUACUGGCAAGCUAGAGUGCGGUAGAGGGUAGUGGAAUUCCCGGUGUAGCGGUGGAAUGCGUAGAGAUCCGGAAGAACACCGGUGGCGAAGGCGGUCUGCUGGGCCAAGACUGACGCUGAGGCGCGACAGCGUGGGGAGCAAACAGG
rnacentral:rRNA from 1 species